AGAUAACAAAAUUCAUUCUGCACAUGGUCAUGAAAAUACAGGGAACACUGGAUGGAUGGAUGGAUGGAUAGAGGGGGUACAUAAGGAAGGCUGGAUAGUUAGACAAUGGGUUCUGUGGAUGGAUGGAUGGCUAGAGGGGGUACACGAGGAAGGUUGGAUGGCUAGACAAGGGUUCUGUGGGUGGAUGGAUGGAUGGAUAGAGGGGGUACACGAGGAAGGCUGGAUGGCCAGACAGGGGUUCUGUGAGUGGAUGGGUGGAUAGAAGGGGUACAUGAGGAGGGUUGGAUGGCCAGACGGGUUCUGUGGGUGGAUGGAUGGAUGGAUAGAGGGGGUACAUGAGGAACGCUGGAUGGCCAGAUGGGUUCUGUGGGUGGAUGGGUGGAUAGACGGGGUACAUGAGGAAGGCUGGAUGGCCAGACAGGGGUUCUGUGGAUGGAUGGAUGGAUAGAUAGAGGGGGUACAUGAGUAAGGUUGGAUGGCCAGAUGGGUUCUGUGGAUGCAUGGAUGGAUGGAUAGACGGGGUACACGAGGUUGGAUGGCCAGACAAGGGUUCUGUGGGUGGAUGAGUGGAUAGAGGGGGUACAUGAGGAAGGUUGGAUGGCCAGAUGGGUUCUGUGGGUGGGUGGGUGGGUGGAUGGAUGGAUGGCUAGAGGCGGCACACAAGGAAGGUUGGAUGGCUAGACAGGGGUUCUGUGGGUGGAUGGGUGGAUAGAGGGGUUACAUGAGGGAGGUUGGAUGGGUAGACAGAUUCUGUGGGUGGAUGAGUGGGUGGGUUUAUGGAGAUAGAUAUUUUAUUCGGGCUGAUCAGGCCCGGAGACCCUUCGUGCCCAGGGCCGGUCCCGUCCAAAG